rnacentral:rRNA from 1 species
AUUGAACGCUGGCGGCAGGCUUAACACCUGCAAGUCGAGCGGGGUGAUGGUGCUUGCACUAUCACUUAGCGGCGGACGGGUGAGUAAUGCUUAGGAAUCUGCCUAUUAGUGGGGGACAACAUCUCGAAAGGGAUGCUAAUACCGCAUACGUCCUACGGGGGAAAGCAGGGGAUCUUUCUGACCUUGCGCUAAUAGAUGAGCCUAAGUCGGAUUAGCUAGUUGGUGGGGUAAAGGCCUACCAAGGCGACGAUCUGUAGCGGGUCUGAGAGGAUGAUCCGCCACACUGGGACUGAGACACGGCCCAGACUCCUACGGGAGGCAGCAGUGGGGAAUAUUGGACAAUGGGGGGAACCCUGAUCCAGCCAUGCCGCGUGUGUGAAGAAGGCCUUAUGGUUGUAAAGCACUUUAAGCGAGGAGGAGGCUCUUUUGGUUAAUACCCAGAAUGAGUGGACGUUACUCGCAGAAUAAGCACCGGCUAACUCUGUGCCAGCAGCCGCCGUAA